rnacentral:rRNA from 2 species
CCUACGGGGGGCUGCAGUGGGGAAUAUUGCACAAUGGAGGAAACUCUGAUGCAGCGACGCCGCGUGAACGAUGAAGGUCUUCGGAUCGUAAAGUUCUGUCCUAGGGGACGAUAAUGACGGUACCCUAGGAGGAAGCCCCGGCUAACUACGUGCCAGCAGCCGCGGUAAUACGUAGGGGGCGAGCGUUGUCCGGAAUUAUUGGGCGUAAAGGGUUCGCAGGCGGUCUUUUAAGUCAGGUGUGAAAGGUCACGGCUCAACCGUGGUAAGCAUUUGAAACUGAAAGACUUGAGUUAAGGAGAGGAAAGUGGAAUUCCUAGUGUAGCGGUGAAAUGCGUAGAUAUUAGGAGGAAUACCAGUGGCGAAGGCGACUUUCUGGACUUAUACUGACGCUGAGGAACGAAAGCGUGGGGAGCAAACAGGAUUAGAUACCCGAGUAGUC